rnacentral:tRNA from 1 species
GGAGGGUUAGCCUAACCGGUAAGGCAGCGGCCUUGAAAGUCGCCGGCCCAGCGAUGGGCCAUGGGGGUUCGAAUCCCUCACCCUCCGCCU